GCUCGUGUAGCUCAGUGGUUAGAGCUUCGUGCUUAUAGUGAUUGCCGGUGUCGUCGGAAUUUCUAUACUCAAGUGGAUGAAAGUUCUACCUGUGAGCAACGCGACCGUCGUGGGUUCAAACCCCACCUCGAGCA